GCAGGAAAUUUGAGAGGAGCUGUCCUUAGUACGAGAGGACCGGGAUGGACGCACCGCUGGUGUACCAGUUGUCUUGCCAAAGGCAUAGCUGGGUAGCUACGUGCGGACGGGAUAAGUGCUGAAAGCAUCUAAGCAUGAAGCCCCCCUCAAGAUGAGAUUUCCUUUUGCUUCGGCAAGUAAGAUCCCUGAAAGAUGAUCAGGUAGAUAGGUUCGAGGUGGAAGCGUGGCGACACGUGCAGCUGACGAAUACUAAUCGAUCGAGGACUUAACCCA
rnacentral:ncRNA from 1 species